rnacentral:rRNA from 1 species
AAAGGGUCCGUAGGCGGUUUUUUAAGUCAGAGGUGAAAUCCUGCAGCUCAACUGUAGAAUUGCCUUUGAUACUGAAAGACUUGAGUUAUUGUGAAGUGGUUAGAAUGUGUGGUGUAGCGGUGAAAAUGCAUAGAUAUCAUACAGAAUACCAAUUGCGAAGGCAGAUUACUAAUAAUCAACUGACACUGAUGGACGAAAGCGUGGGUAGCGAACAGGAUUAGAUACCCUGGUAGUCCACGCCGUAAACGAUGGUUACUAGCUGUUUGGACCUUGUGUCUGAGUGGCUAAGCGAAAGUGAUAAGUAACCCACCUGGGGAGUACGUUCGCAAGAAUGAAACUCAAAGGAAUUGACGGGGGCCCGCACAAGCGGUGGAGCAUGUGGUUUAAUUCGAUGAUACGCGAGGAACCUUACCAGGGCUUAAAUGUAAGUUGCAUUAGUUAGAGAUAGCUAUUUCUUCGGACCACUUACAAGGUGCUGCAUGGUU